rnacentral:rRNA from 1 species
CAGCGAACAGAUAAGGAGCUUGCUCCUUUGACGUUAGCGGCGGACGGGUGAGUAACACGUGGGUAACCUACCUAUAAGACUGGGAUAACUUCGGGAAACCGGAGCUAAUACCGGAUAACAUUUGGAACCGCAUGGUUCUAAAGUGAAAGAUGGUUUUGCUAUCACUUAUAGAUGGACCCGCGCCGUAUUAGCUAGUUGGUAAGGUAACGGCUUACCAAGGCGACGAUACGUAGCCGACCUGAGAGGGUGAUCGGCCACACUGGAACUGAGACACGGUCCAGACUCCUACGGGAGGCAGCAGUAGGGAAUCUUCCGCAAUGGGCGAAAGCCUGACGGAGCAACGCCGCGUGAGUGAUGAAGGGUUUCGGCUCGUAAAACUCUGUUAUUAGGGAAGAACAAAUGUGUAAGUAACUGUGCACAUCUUGACGGUACCUAAUCAGAAAGCCACGGCUAACUACGUGCCAGCAGCCGCGGUAAUACGUAGGUGGCAAGCGUUAUCCGGAAUUAUUGGGCGUAAAGCGCGCGUAGGCGGUUUCUUAAGUCUGAUGUGAAAGCCCACGGCUCAACCGUGGAGGGUCAUUGGAAACUGGGAAACUUGAGUGCAGAAGAGGAAAGUGGAAUUCCAUGUGUAGCGGUGAAAUGCGCAGAGAUAUGGAGGAACACCAGUGGCGAAGGCGACUUUCUGGUCUGUAACUGACGCUGAUGUGCGAAAGCGUGGGGAUCAAACAGGAUUAGAUACCCUGGUAGUCCACGCCGUAAACGAUGAGUGCUAAGUGUUAGGGGGUUUCCGCCCCUUAGUGCUGCAGCUAACGCAUUAAGCACUCCGCCUGGGGAGUACGACCGCAAGGUUGAAACUCAAAGGAAUUGACGGGGACCCGCACAAGCGGUGGAGCAUGUGGUUUAAUUCGAAGCAACGCGAAGAACCUUACCAAAUCUUGACAUCCUUUGAAAACUCUAGAGAUAGAGCCUUCCCCUUCGGGGGACAAAGUGACAGGUGGUGCAUGGUUGUCGUCAGCUCGUGUCGUGAGAUGUUGGGUUAAGUCCCGCAACGAGCGCAACCCUUAAGCUUAGUUGCCAUCAUUAAGUUGGGCACUCUAGGUUGACUGCCGGUGACAAACCGGAGGAAGGUGGGGAUGACGUCAAAUCAUCAUGCCCCUUAUGAUUUGGGCUACACACGUGCUACAAUGGACAAUACAAAGGGCAGCUAAACCGCGAGGUCAUGCAAAUCCCAUAAAGUUGUUCUCAGUUCGGAUUGUAGUCUGCAACUCGACUACAUGAAGCUGGAAUCGCUAGUAAUCGUAGAUCAGCAUGCUACGGUGAAUACGUUCCCGGGUCUUGUACACACCGCCCGUCACACCACGAGAGUUUGUAACACCCGAAGCCGGUGGAGUA